rnacentral:rRNA from 1 species
CCUACGGGUGGCAGCAGUGAGGAAUAUUGGUCAAUGGGCGGGAGCCUGAACCAGCCAAGUAGCGUGAAGGAUGACUGCCCAGUGGAUUGUAAACUUCUUUUAUAUGGGAAUAAAGUGCAGUAUGUAUACUGCUUUGCAUGUACCUUAUGAAUAAGGAUCGGCUAACUCCGUGCCAGCAGCCGCGGUAAUACGGAGGAUGCGAGCGUUAUCCGGAUUUAUUGGGUUUAAAGGGGGCGCAGGCGGGUUGUUAAGUCCGUUGUGAAAGUUGGCGGCUCAACCCUAAAAUUGCAUUUGAUACUGGCAUCCUUGUGUACAGACAAGUUAGGCGGAAUUGGUGUGGAGGCGGUGAACUGCUUGGUUUUCACGAGAAACCCGACU